rnacentral:rRNA from 1 species
GAAGAUCGGAGUGCUUGCACUCUGUGAACAAGAUACAGGCUAGCGGCGGACGGGUGAGUAACACGUGGGUAAACCUGCCCCAAGAGAUCGGGGAUAACACCUGGAAACAGAUGCUAAUACCGGAUAACACAGAUGAUGCCUAUCAACUGUUUAAAAAGAUGGUUCUGCUAUCACUCUUGGAUGGACCUGCGGUGCAUUAGCUAGUUGGUAGGGUAACGGCCUACCAAGGCGAUGAUGCAUAGCCGAGUUGAAAGACUGAUCGGCCACAUUGGGACUGAGACACGGCCCAAAACUCCUACGGGAGGCAGCAGUAGGGAAAUCUUCCACAAUGGACGCAAGUCUGAUGGAGCAACGCCGCGUGAGUGAAGAAGGGUUUCGGCUCGUAAAGCUCUGUUGUUGGUGAAGAAGGACAGGGGUAGUAACUGACCUUUGUUUGACGGUAAUCAAUUAGAAAGUCACGGCUAACUACGUGCCCAGCAGCCGCGGGUAAU